CCCUGAAGUACACUCCGUUCCCUGAAUGCAUCUCUGCAAAGUGCACACCCUGAAUGACUCAAUCUGAUUCCAUUUACAGCCCUUACAGCCAAUAGGAAUAUGGCUGUUCGGGCUAGCUAGCCAAUGGGAUAGAUCCACGAUUCGUCCCCGCAUGCACGGCUCAGUGAUGGCUACUUGUCAGUUGUCACUUGAUUGCAUUGGUCAUCAACCGUCUUUUAGGUAUGACCACGACAUCAAUGACAUCAACAACAGCAGCAGUGUUACGGUCGUAAACACAGUGCUCUGUGGAUCUCCACUUCCAGCCUGCCUGCUUCACUCUCCAGCCUGAAGCACCCGCAAUCACCUCCAACCCAUGCUUCAUCCCUAAUCACCUUUUUUUGUUAGGGUAAAGGUACCAUUAAGCCUAUUCCUCUACUAUCUUAGGAUUGGUGCUGUGAUUUCUUCUUUUUGUAGUAAUUAUCUUACUGCGAACAAAUUAGCUUAAUCUAUUAUACCAAAAAAAAUGUAAUACUUUGGACAGUGUAUAAUCUGUAUGUAACCCCAUGUAACCAAUGUCUUAAAAUGAACAGCCUGGCAUUUCAUCACAGUGAGAAUUGGUCUGACAACAUGGACUUCCUAUUGAAAAACAUGAGGUGGGCUUUAAUGGAACAUAGUCGGCUUAUGGUUCCAUAGUUAUUUCUGGUGAAAAAAAGAUGAUUCAUUACCUUUCAAAUGAAAUAAAUUUAUAUAAAAGUUUGCAUGGAGCCUAAAUAACCUGUCGACUAAGCAUUAUAGUAAUUGUUAUUUAUUCAACGUUUAGAAUUAUCAAGUCAAGUCUCAUUCAAAGUUACAAAACAUUUUAUAAUGUAUGUAUUCAUUCAUUCAUCUAUUACUAAUCAGAAAACAUUUAGGUUAUGUCCUUGACAUGUCUAAUUCUUUAGCAGUGCAUCACCGAACACGGCUAAUGGUUUCACCAUGAGAUCAGCUCAGUGCGCUCUCUCAUGAAACUCCUCUAUGUACUUAGUAGGUCCAUGAGAUUGAUGCACUUAGGUGGGUUUUAUUCAACAUUGGCAAAUGUGAUGGGUAUGCAAUAAAAAUAAUUAUGGAAAUAA